CUACAUUUCUUCGUUUUACUUCUUUGGACAAAGUUCUCCAGCAAGUUUCGAGUUCAACCACAACCAAAAUUAUUCCUGUCUUGAGUGAUCCAACCAGCCCAGAGGCUCUGUUGUCGCUCAGAAGAACAGUAAAUGGGUCCAUCUGCCCUGGGGAGCAGGAAUGGAGGAGCCCCGGCCUUAUCCCCUGGAGAGAGCAAACGCGCAGGGGCAGAGGCCAGCACAGGCAGACUCGGUGUCUGCUCCAGCCGUGGCUCCUCUGUGGCCCUAAAGGAAGGUUAAAAGUCUGAUCAGAUGCCUGCUCUACACGCAAAAUCACCAAGUGACUGCAGCAAACGCCUCUCAGAACGCAAAGCAACAUCAGGCAGGCAGCAGCUGAAACAAGCCCCCGCCGCCAGGGGAAGCAAACAGUGGAGCUGUGCUUUCCUGCUGAUUCCCCCAGCUCUUCGUUGGUGGGGGGAGGAUUAUUAAACCCUUCUGCUUUGCUCUGAGGUGCUACAAAUAGAACAGUAAAUCUAAAUAAUGAGGUGCACGCUGUUCCCUUCAGUAUGUGCUACAGAUGACAAGCAGGGACCAAAAAUCAAAAGGAAACCGUAAGUAUAGCUGGAGGCUAUUGUGCCCACUGUGGAGCUGACUCCUGAAUGUGCUGAGGUACAUACCUUGUACUUGUGUUGGACAUGCUGCAAUUGUGACUGCCUUGUGUCGUACAUGAGGCUGGUUAUUCAUGCCAGGAUACUCUCAUCACCAGUGAACCCCUGUUACAUGGCUCAGCACUCACUCUGGCAAGUUAUAGAAAAGGGAGGUUGUAUCCUAAGAUUGGAAGAGCAGUUCUCAAACUCUUCUUCUCAUAUCCACACCCCAAAUUUUGCCCUUUUCUGCUUUCUGCUCCCCUCAGGAAGGUGGCAAGUACGAUUGGGUUAUCGAGCCCAGCCCACAAGGAGCCUUGGCCACAAAGAGCCUGAUCGAAGGUCUUCUGAAGGGGACUACUUCUCAUGCCUGCCCCCAGAUAAAUCCUACCUGCUCUGGUUUGCCAUUGCCUAUGUUAGACUGGGCUUGGUUCAAAAGCUCCAAGACCUGCCUGUGAUCACUAGCUAGACAACAAAACUGAACUGCCAGCUUUCAACUGCUAGCAAAGGGAAAGUGGACAAGGAUUACACAAAGGCUGAUGUUAUUUCUCACUUAUUGGCCUGUACCUGAGACAAACUGUUAUCUUGUUCAUCUACUGGAAAUACUUAAACCCCUAAAGUUGGGUUUCUGGAAGCAGAAACGUCAGAAAGAGGGUGAAUGUCUACAGAAACAUGCUGAGAGAUGAAAUCUAGGUACCAUUGAUGCCUCAUCCAAAUUUCUAUUUAACUGGCACGUGGUGAAUACAUUGGACAAGCUCAACUACUCAGGUCUGAAAGUAGCAUUUUUAAGAGCAGGUGUAACUAUUCAUAAGAAAAGGAUUGGUCAGAGCCACUUGCCAGCUUUGUUACUUCAGUGGGUUAGAAUUAAAGGGUAGGGUCCUUUUUCCCCAACAGAGGUAUUGAGCUAGAAAUUCAUGGCUACUUUCAGAAGUGAUCCAAGUCCUUCACAUUCCACCUAGGGGUAGAUGAACAGAAGUGUUUUCAUCUGUGAGCAGUUACAGGCUAAGAGGGGGUCAUCAGCAAGACACACAUACAUUCACACACUCUCCCUCUCUUGAUCAGGAUCCUCAGCUGAGAAUUUAAAGGCCACUUUGCAAGGCUUCCCUCUCAUGUGUGUGUCUAAAGCACCAGUUUGUGAGGUUUUGGAGUGGAUUCAUCUCCAUCUAUUGAACCUGAUAAAACUUUUCCGGUAGAAAACUGAUUUCUGAUUUAGACUCAACUCCCGACUGCAUUAUCAAAAAUAUUCCUGACCAUUCUUCCACACUCAAGUCUUUCAGUGAGACUCAGUGAAUCUUAUCAGUUAUUGCCAAUUGGUGACCUGUUAACAGCAGUUCCCAGGGUCCCAAUCAAAGCGAACGUGACGACAGGUCAUGAUCUCAGCAUUUCUCUGGAGUAAUUCCUAUAUUCCUAUUCCCGGCAUACCUGGGCUGAGUACAUCUACUCUGGUUAAUGCUUCCUAAAAUGACAGCUUGCAGAAUAAUUCUAUGUUAUACAUUUGAAUAACUACUUCACAAACUGUUUGUCUUUGAGAAAUGAUAAUGAAAAGCAAAUGAUUAAAAAAAUGAGAAAAAACCAAAGAGGUUAAUGGUGCUGGAGUGAAAUAGGAACACAUGCCUACGUGAAAAUUUUAGUGUUUUGGGGCUUGGGUUUGGAAGUAGAGCCGAUUGCCAAAAGUUACUGGAAAACAUAAAUUAUCUUUCAAUUUCUUUGCAAUUUUCAAGCUAAUACAACUCCAGUGAAAGUUCCUAAUGCUAUCUUUCCUCUCUUAACCUAAUUAACAAACUGAAAAUUUAUGUAGUCCUAAAUGGAAUUACUUUCUCCUAAGCACUGCAGAGGGAGUUAUUUCUCAUGUACCUAUUAAAGCAUGGGUAUCGAUGUUAAUGCUUCACUCCAGCUACAAAACCUGAAUUCUCUGCACAGGAAUAAUACAUUGGAAUUGCCCUGUCUGAGGCCAUGCUCCCAUGAUGCAAACUGCUAACAUCAACUCAGGACAGUAUCACCCUGCCUCCAUUAUUAUUAUUUUAAAUGUUGGAGUUGUUAAUUGUAACAUAUUUACCUGCUGAACAUUUAGAAAAGCCUGGCUCAAAAAUCUAUUAUAUUUUCAAAGAAGAACUAAAA